GUCAGGAUAGCUUAGCUGGUAAAGGAGAGGACUGAAAUUCCCCAUGUCACUAGUUCAAAUUUGGUUCCUAGCA
rfam:Lupinus angustifolius cultivar Tanjil chromosome LG17, whole genome shotgun sequence.